rnacentral:rRNA from 1 species
UACGUAGGGUGCGAGCGUUGUCCGGAAUUACUGGGCGUAAAGAGCUCGUAGGUGGUUUGUCGCGUUGUUCGUGAAAUCUCACGGCUUAACUGUGAGCGUGCGGGCGAUACGGGCAGACUAGAGUACUGCAGGGGAGACUGGAAUUCCUGGUGUAGCGGUGGAAUGCGCAGAUAUCAGGGGGAACACCGGUGGCGAAGGCGGGUCUCUGGGCAGUAACUGACGCUGAGGAGCGAAAGCGUGGGGAGCGAACAGG